rnacentral:rRNA from 1 species
GAUGAACGCUGGCGGCGUGCCUAAUACAUGCAAGUCGAACGAAAAGACGAUAAGCUUUCUCCCCUGACGUUAGCGAGUGACGGACGGGUAACACAUGGAUCACCUACCUCUAUUACUUGGAUAACUUCGGAAAACCACAUACAAUAACACCUCAUACAUUCAACGGCAGAGUGCAAUAGUUAAACACAGCUUUCGCGUCUCUUAGAGAUGAAUCCGGGCCGCAUUAGCUAGUUGGUAAGGUAACGGCUUACCAAGGCAACGAUGCGUAGCCGACCUGAGAGGGUGAUCGGCCACACUGGAACUGAGACACGGUCCAGACUCCUACGGGAGGCAGCAGUAGGGAAUCUUCGGCAAUGGGCGAAAGCCUGACGGAGCAACGCCGCGUGAGUGAUGAAGGUCUUCGGAUCGUAAAACUCUGUUAUUAGGGAAGAAAAGAUGUGUAAGUAACUAUGCACGUCUUGACGGUACCUAAUCAGAAAGCCACGGCUAACUACGUG